CCAAAGGCUCUUUUCAGAGCCACCUACUUUCUCUUAAGAAGAGCUG
rfam:Opisthocomus hoazin contig22589, whole genome shotgun sequence.